CCGACUUUAGCUCAGUUGGUAGAGCGCAAGACUGUAAUGGAUAUCCAAUCUUGAUGCCGCCUGUUCGAUCCAGGCAAGUCGGA
rnacentral:tRNA from 1 species